UGGGGAAUAUUGCACAAUGGGCGAAAGCCUGAUGCAGCGACGCCGCGUGAGGGAUGACGGCCUUCGGGUUGUAAACCUCUUUCAGCAGGGCCGAAGCGCAAGUGACGGUACCUGCAGAAGAAGCACCGGCUAACUACGUGCCAGCAGCCGCGGUAUUACGUAGGGUGCAAGCGUUGUCCGGAAUUACUGGGCGUAAAGAGUUCGUAGGCGGUUUGUCGCGUCGUUUGUGAAAACCAGCAGCUCAACUGCUGGCUUGCAGGCGAUACGGGCAGACUUGAGUACUGCAGGGGAGACUGGAAUUCCUGGUGUAGCGGUGAAAUGCGCAGAUAUCAGGAGGAACACCGGUGGCGAAGGCGGGUCUCUGGGCAGUAACUGACGCUGAGGAACGAAAGCGUGGGUAGCGAACAGG
rnacentral:rRNA from 1 species